GGAGGGGUGGCAGAGUGGUCGAAUGCACCGGUCUUGAAAACCGGCGACCCUUCACGGGGUCCGCGGGUUCGAAUCCCGCCCCCUCCGCCA
rnacentral:tRNA from 1 species